UCCGGGAAUUUAUUGGGCGUAAAGCGCGCGCAGGCGGUUUCUUAAGUCUGAUGUGAAAGCCCCCGGCUCAACCGGGGAGGGUCAUUGGAAACUGGGGAACUUGAGUGCAGAAGAGGAGAGUGGAAUUCCACGUGUAGCGGUGAAAUGCGUAGAGAUGUGGAGGAACACCAGUGGCGAAGGCGACUCUCUGGUCUGUAACUGACGCUGAGGCGCGAAAGCGUGGGGAGCGAACAGGAUUAGAUACCCUGGUAGUCCACGCCGCAAACGAUGAGUGCUAAGUGUUAGAGGGUUUCCGCCCUUUAGUGCUGCAGCAAACGCAUUAAGCACUCCGCCUGGGGAGUACGGUCGCAAGACUGAAACUCAAAGGAAUUGACGGGGGCCCGCACAAGCGGUGGAGCAUGUGGUUUAAUUCGAAGCAACGCGAAGAACCUUACCAAAUCUUGACAUCCUUUGACCACUCUAGAGAUAGAGCUUUCCCCUUCGGGGGACAAAGUGACAGGUGGCGCAUGGUUGUCGUCAGCUCGUGUCGUGAGAUGUUGGGUUAAGUCCCGCAACGAGCGCAACCCUUAAGCUUAGUUGCCAUCACGUUAUGGUGGGGACUCGCGAGAGACUGCCGGGGUUAACUCGGAGGAAGGUGGGGAUGACGUCAAAUCAUCAUGCCCCUUAUGUCCAGGGCUUCACACAUGCUACAAUGGUCGGUACAGUGGGUUGCGAUGCCGUGAGGUGGAGCUAAUCCCUUAAAGCCGGUCUCAGUUCGGAUUGGAGUCUGCAACUCGACUCCAUGAAGUCGGAGUCGCUAGUAAUCGCAGAUCAGCAACGCUGCGGUGAAUACGUUCCCGGGCC
rnacentral:rRNA from 1 species